CACAUUAGGCCAGAGAACUUCUUAGUAUAGAGGUGUCACAAGGUGGUUAUGAUAUAGAAGAGAAAGCUGCAAGAGCAUAUGAUCUUGUAGCUCUUAAGUAUUUAUUGGGGACCUUCAACACACACAAACUUCCCACUAGAAAAUUACCAAACUAAACUUGAGGAAAUGAAGAAUAUGAGCAGGCAUGAGUAUGUGGCCCACUUGAGAAGAAAGAGUACUGGGUUUUCAAGGGGUGCAUCAAUGUACAGAGGAGUGACAAGGAAUUUCCUUCCAAUGCAUGUCCUAGGUAUGCAAAAGACUUUUAAGUAAGGAGCUUGCUAAGAGGAUGACAUUGUAACUGCAUAUGACAAUGCAUAUUUGACAGUCCAUGAACCGAAACUAAAAGGUGGAUUUGACAGCUUAUGUGGAGAAGCAUAAGUUCUGUUUGAUGUUGUUUUUGACGAGAAUGUUACCAAUGACGAAUUAUGAAGAGUACAUAAUGAUAAAGAGGUUAGAGAUCUUGCAACUUAUGCAUAUCUUUAUGUGAAAAUCUGAAGAAGAUUUAUCUUUUAAUUUUCUCUAUUAAAUCAUUGGAGUACUAUGGGCGUGAACCGAUUUAACUGAGAUGGAACUACAAC